rnacentral:tRNA from 1 species
GCAACGGUAGCAUAACUGGUUAAUGCACUCGGCUGAUAUCCGAGCGAUUGUAGGUUCAAAUCCUACUCGUUGCA